rnacentral:rRNA from 1 species
CACGGUAGGGUGCGAGCGUUGUCCGGAAUUAUUGGGCGUAAAGAGCUCGUAGGCGGUGUGUCGCGUCGGCCGUGAAAACCUGCAGCUUAACUGUGGGCUUGCGGUCGAUACGGGCAUCACUGGAGUUCGGCAGGGGAGACUGGAAUUCCUGGUGUAGCGGUGAAAUGCGCAGAUAUCAGGAGGAACACCGGUGGCGAAGGCGGGUCUCUGGGCCGAAUACUGACGC